CACUUUAGAUUUGGAAAGAGGAGGGGAAGACUGUGCCAGUCCUAAAGAAUAGCAGCUUCUGUUUUUCCAGAACUUCAGAAAGUGAGCCAGACACUUACUCAGUGCUUUGUGCAUGUAACCUCACUGAAUAUUCACUGUGCUCCAGGGUGUCUCAACCUAGCACUAUUGACAUUUUGGGUUAGAGAAUUCAUUGUUAAAGGGGAACUUCCUGUGCUUUGUACAGUGUUUAAGAGCAUGUCUGGCCUCAGUCCACUAAAUACCAUUCAUACCCCACCCUCCAUGUCAAGACAAAAAAUGUCUCCAGGCAUUGUUGGAUGUCCUCACAGGAGUGAUACUGUGCCCAGGUGAGAGCUGCAGUCUGACUCCAUAAAGUAGGUAAUAUUAGUAUCAUGCCUGUCUCAUAGGCAAGCAAACCAAGAUGUGGAUAGAAGUGACCUGCCUGAGGUUGUGACUUCACUGUAACGAAAGGCCCAGGAUUCAAAAGCAGGGCUGAUCUCAGAGCACCUGCCCCAGUGCACGCAAGAUCUGAAAAGAGCCUGAACGCAUCUUCCACAGAAGGGUGAUGAAGAGUGAGUAGAUUUUGCUGCCCUUGCAUCAUUUGUCCUUUUCUAUUUGUUUUAGAUAAAGGAAGUUAUAUUCUGGCUCUUACUGCCUCAGUCAGCUGGCCCAUGAUAUGCAGCCGUGUCCAGUGAGAAAGUGACCAGUAAAUCAUCUAAGUGCCUCAAGGUCCUGGGGCCUACAUUCCUGUUGCCUCCCCACCCCGGUGUCCUCUCCACAUCAUCCUCAACUCUGCUGGAGGAUUUAGUCCGCCUGAGAGAUUGUUCAGGUUAUGCUGUCCCAGCACCUCUUGCCCUCCAGCAUGUCCCUCCUUUAGUUUUUGUCGUCUUCGUCACUCUUGUUCCUCCUGCCGUGGCCGCCCUGGAUCACAGGUGUGUGCCCCACGUCCAACUCUGUCUGUUCCUCUGUUAGGUUCUUCCUUUUGGCUCUGGGGAGGGAGCACAGAGCCUGCAGCCCAGAGCGAGCUUCCAGUCUGGCAGGCGGGUUGAGCUGGAGUGGACUGCAAACAGGACUGCGUCAUCCCGAGGGCGGCCAGGGCGGUGCAAGGCGGGAUGGAGUGUGCUGGGCCAGGCCGGAGCCAGCCAGGGCAGCAGACCCGCUCAGAGCUUUCAGACAGAACCAGCUGCCGGGAGCAGGUGCCCAGUUUCAGCCGUGAGCCUCCUGCUUCUCCACACUCUCAGCUCGGAGUUCUGAUACACUCUUGGCUUCGCAGAGUCACUCAACAAACGUCUAUUGAGCACCUACUGUGUGCCAGGCGUUGCGUAGGCCCUGGUGACACAGUGCGCGUCCCUUCCUCUCCGCCAGCCCCCCGUGCUUCCUGCGUGCUCUGCAUGAAGGACCUCAUGCCAGUGUCCAUCCCUCUUCUUGCAGUGUCCAGAGUCAUGCUGCCUCCAUCCUCACAUUCCCGGUGGCGGGCUCCCCUGGGUCCCCCCUUCCUGCUGAUGUCUCAUGAGCACUCGCUCUUCCCCUUGCUUCCUCUUGUUUCCCCGAGUCCUUUGUACACUGCCUGUCCUUGCUCAGAACUCCAUGGAGCCCUAGAGAUGCCCAGAGGUGGAGUCCAGGCCCGGGCUCUGUGCGAAGGCCUCCCAGUCCAGCCCAGCUCAGCUCUGCUCCGUAUGAUUCCUCGAAGAGUCCCUGGGGCGCUGUUGUGGUGCUUACCCUGCCCUACCCAGUGGGUGCUGGGCACGCAGAUGUACUCUUUGGCUUUGACCUAUCAGUUCACACCCUUCUCCCCCGCGCUAGGGCAGGGUAUCGAACUAAGCUACAUCCUCAGCUUUUAAAAAUUUUUUUUUGGUACCUGGGAUCGAACUCAGGACCUUCCUUGUAAGGCCGUUGGUGGUACCACUGAGCUAAAUCCCUGGGCCUCUUUUCUUAUUUUUAAUUUUUGAGACAGGGUCUUGCUAAGCCACUGAGUUGCCCAGGCUGGGCUUGAAUUUGUGAUCCUCCUGCUUCAGCCUCCCAGAGUGCUGGGAUGACAGGUGUGCACCACCAUGCCCGGCAAAUCGCACCUAUCCUAGUCCCUGAUGAAAUGCCUUCUCUCCAGGGGUCAUGUUUCCCAGCUGUUUAGCCCCCCCCCCCCAUACAGAGGCACACACCUGGACAGAGCUCAUCAUCACCAGAGGGCUCCAGAGCAAUCCAUUUGAAAACUUUCCCUCAGAUCAAGAACUUGCUAUGGCUCCUUGUGUCAGCCACUUCAGAAACCUGUUCCUAGUAGGUUCCCAGCUGCACUCCUAGGUGUCGAGCUCCCCUACUGUAGCCCAGAAUGCGGCCCGUGUUCACCUUCCACCGUAUGCUGGAAGUGAGCCAACUCCCAGGGGAGGGAAGCUCUGUGACUGGGAGCAGUGCAGUGCGUGCUGGGAAGAGCCUCCUGCUCACAGGACCUCCACCUCUCCUUUAGGGUCAGAAGUGACUUUCUUCUCAGUAGUGACUUGGUUUGGAAUGUGCCCCUGGCUCCCUGGCAGCUUGGGCAGCAGAGGGCACGUUUGGCCGGUGAGCUAGAUGGACCAGGAUGCCUGUGGCUCUGUCCCCUGGGCGGCCACCCCAGCUGCCAUGCGCCCGCCCCUUGCUCUGUGACCUGUGCCCUUCCUCUGCCUGCGUGUGGACCAGCGUGUGGACCAGUGGCUGAGCCUGAGAGGGAGCACCUGGUGGAGGGACCCGCCCCUGCCGUCUUGACAGAGGACACAGCCACACUCUGCCAGCCCUGCCACUGCCGGCGGCCACUCCCUCACAGCCCAGCCUGGUCCUUGGCAGCCUCACCCCUUCUCAAGCCUUGUCUUAGCCAGCAGCCACCUCCCCUUCCAGCCCCCCAACCCCCAUGAUCCUUUAAAGGACCCCAGAGCCCCGAGGAGAGCAUCCCGUUUGGUCUCAGCGCCACAGCAGCCCACUCAGGUUUGUUCUGAAAUAAACCUGUCCUGUCGAGC
rnacentral:lncRNA from 1 species